AUUGAACGCUGGCGGCAGGCCUAACACAUGCAAGUCGAGCGGAUGAAGAGAGCUUGCUCUCUGAUUUAGCGGCGGACGGGUGAGUAAUGCCUAGGAAUCUGCCAGGUAGUGGGGGAUAACGUUCCGAAAGGAACGCUAAUACCGCAUACGUCCUGCGGGAGAAAGCAGGGGACCUUCGGGCCUUGCGCUAUCAGAUGAGCCUAGGUCGGAUUAGCUAGUUGGUGAGGUAAUGGCUCACCAAGGCGACGAUCCGUAACUGGUCUGAGAGGAUGAUCAGUCACACUGGAACUGAGACACGGUCCAGACUCCUACGGGAGGCAGCAGUGGGGAAUAUUGGACAAUGGGCGAAAGCCUGAUCCAGCCAUGCCGCGUGUGUGAAGAAGGUCUUCGGAUUGUAAAGCACUUUAAGUUGGGAGGAAGGGCAGUAAGUUAAUACCUUGCUGUUUUGACGUUACCGACAGAAUAAGCACCGGCUAACUUCGUGCCAGCCGCCGCGGUAACAC
rnacentral:rRNA from 1 species